ensembl:lncRNA
AUCAAUUAUUACACAGUGAAAGCAAGAAGAAAAAUAUGCUCUCUGUAUUGUCAUGAGACCUGGGGUAGAAAAACUCCCCCCUGGCCGCCUCCACAUCACAGCUAAGAGAUAUUGAAGGUCUUAAUAGUCAGACUUAUGUGAGUAAAAGUGAUCAAAGUUCUAAAACAGAGCUUUCAUCUAUUUCCUAAUAAUUAAGCAUUUUAUUCUUAAUCAAGAUAAAUAAAAUACAAAUGUGAUCAAUAUAUUAAUAUAAUUAAUAUUAUAUAAUUAACAUAGUCUGAGUAAUAAAAAUAACUGUAUUAAUGUCUGAGUUUUGUGGUGAAAUGUGUGAGUGCUCAUGAGCAGAUUCAACCGUGGCAGUUUUGUGUUUCUAAUAACAGGCCUUACCAAGAAUCUGACCUUGGUUUGUGUGUGUGUGUGUGUGUGUGUGUGUGUGUGUGUGUGUGUGUGUGUGUGUGUGUGUGUGUGUGUGUGUGUGUGUGUGGUGCAGGAUGGGGGUGAAAGAGACACACUGGAACCACUAAUCUCAGAAAGUGUCUGAAAAGAGAUUAUGUUACAAUGAAUCUCCAUGUGAAAAUGUGCUAAAAACAAAUUCUGCAUGUUAAGAAUAACAAAGGAAACGUAAUAAAUUGAAUUUAAGGUUUAAAAGUACAAACGUUGUGUUAAAUCAUGUAGGUCAGACAUACAGAGAGACAUAGAGAGACAGAUAAGGUGUGGGUGGACAUCGGAUGAUUAAAUGUCAACAAUUUGACUGGAUGUCCAAAAUGUGAAGAUGUGAUGCCCAGCAGGAUAGGAUGGACAAAGGGUGAGAGUUAUAAGUAUGGGGUGUAAAAGAGAUUCUGGAUUCUUCCCUUCUGUCUUCUGUGAGAUGAUCAGUUCAGAAGAUUGGAUCUAAGAGUUGAAAAUUCCAGCAGGGACGCUGACAGGGGUAAUGGAAAUCCAAACAGUGAAUUUAUUUUGGAAUUUGUAUCUGCUAAAUAUCUGCUUAGUUUUGCCCGUUAGACGGUUAAUUCAGAAGGAGUUUUAUUUACAUCAUACUUUCACUCAAUGCCAAGCUGCUUUCCUGUUGCGUGAUUAUUAUCAGUGCAUCUUCAGAUCUCGUUGUGUUUAUUCUGAACAAACUCAGCAUUAGCUCAGAAUAGGUUAGUUAGAUAAGUAUAGUUUAAAUGAUUUGAUUGUUUUUUAACUCUUAGUAUUUGAUUUUUCUUUUGCUUUGCUCUUGCUAAAUUUCUGUAAUAAAAUAUUCUGUAAAUAAAGUCUAAAUUGUAGACAUUCGCUUUUUAACCUUUUUUGAAAUAGCAAAGGUAGGUCUGAGUAUUAUUCUUUAUUAGUGCAAAUAGCUCUUACAGGUUACCCUGCCAAUCAAAGCAGUAGUUGGUGAUGACAUACCAUUUUUCCUUUCCAUCAGUGUUGUUUCUCAGGCUGGGGAGUGGACCAGAUUUAACUUGCAACACGAAUUGGUCUAAGUGUAAUGUUCUGAUGACUUCUAGUUGAUUAUAAUCUGUUUAAUAAGGAAAGAAAGUUACUGUCCAUCAACAAUCAAAGUGGUUUAUUUUUGCUCACAUUUUGAUGCAUGCUCAAUCAUCCAGGUAAGUAAAUCUCCAAAAGUUGAUUCUGUUCAUCUGGACGUAGCAUUUUGUGGGAGAAACAUUUCAUCACUCAUCCAAGUGACUUCUUCAGUCUCAGCUGACUGCAGGUUUCCCCA